CCUACGGGAGGCAGCAGUCGAGAAUCAUUCACAAUGGGGGAAACCCUGAUGGUGCGACGCCGCGUGGGGGAAUGAAGGUCUUCGGAUUGUAAACCCAUGUCAUGUGGGAGCAAAUUAAAAAGAUAGUACCACAAGAGGAAGAGACGGCUAACUCUGUGCCAGCAGCCGCGGUAAUACAGAGGUCUCAAGCGUUGUUCGGAAUCACUGGGCGUAAAGCGUGCGUAGGCUGUUUCGUAAGUCGUGUGUGAAAGGCGCGGGCUCAACCCGCGGACGGAACAUGAUACUGCGAGACUAGAGUAAUGGAGGGGGAACCGGAAUUCUCGGUGUAGCAGUGAAAUGCGGAGAUAUCGAGAGGAACACUCGUGGCGAAGGCGGGUUCCUGGACAUUAACUGACGCUGAGGCACGAAGGCCAGGGGAGCGAAAGGGAUUAGAUACCCGGGUAGUC
rnacentral:rRNA from 1 species